UUUUAAAUGACAGGACGCAGCGUUGGGGUCAGCAACCUCUGCUCCCAGACCCCGGGAGUGCAGCAAGCCCUCCGACCCUGCCGGCCGUGCGGCACCGCGGCCGUUUCGAUGUGAAUUAUGAGAAUUACAGCAAAAAACUCCAGUGUGUGGCUAUUUCCAGCAUGGAAACACCUGUGGAAAUGCUCUGUGCAGCACCUGGGCUGCUCCAAAAUCAUGGAUUCAAGGCUCCCUUUCAGGGCAAAGGAAACAGGUUGUGCAAAGCUUUGCGCAGAAGGUGCGUGGGGAGGGGGCUUCAGAGAAGACCUCCAAUAAACCUGUUGCUCGUGGGCACUAAAAGCUGGUUGUGCCAAUCCUAGCUGCCGUAUUUUUAAGUUUCAAGUGCCACUGGUUGCAUUAUCUCGUUUUCUUGGCUGCUCGAGACAGGAAAAUUACAUUUCAAUUGCUUUUUAAUUCAACUUAAUCUGGUGCAAAAGUUAGUGUGCGCCCUCUAAUUUUGUUUCCUGAGCGGUUUGUUUCGGCUAAUUCCUCAUCAGCCAGCGCUAAAUCAAAACAGGCCUGGUUCGAGCCGAAAUAGAUGAGUCCUUGCACCCUUUCCAAGCAGUUUAAUUAAAUUGGCUCAAAAUCACGCCCCGGGAGGAGCAGGGGCAGCCUCUCGCGCCGGCCAGCCCCGAGCUGGGGGCAGAGCAGCUGCUCCGCUGCCUUCCGAGCUUUCCAGGCGCAAUCGGAGCUGUCCCGCUCAGCGCCCUGUCGCUGCCAGCGGAGAGAGAGAAAGGAUGGGGAGAGAAAACCGAAUUGAUCGCCGUCCCCUCCUCCCCACCCUUCUCCUCCAUCCUUGAUGGCACCAGAGGUGGCAUGGCCGAGCGCUUGGUCCCCGGGCAGGCUCACGGCGAGCGGGGCUGCUUUCAACCCGCGCUGAGGACACGGGCAGAUCGAUAUUUGCCCACGGGGAAAGGGGAGAGCCGCUGGAGGAAAAAGCGUCUCAGUUUUCAGCAUAAUAAGAGGGUAUCAGAGCUAAUGGAGACGAAAGGAGAUAAAACCCUAAAUCUACAUGACAGCGUCCCCUGAGCUCAGCCUUGUGUGCUCAAGCUGAAAAUCCACGUGGUGACAGCCUAUCCCCACUGCACGUGGCGGAAGGACCUGGCCAGGAACGAAGCCCACACGUGGCAGCUCUGCAGCGGGGUGAGAAGAGGCAGACCCAGCCCAGGCUCCAUCGCCCGCGGCUGUGCAGCUGCAGGCACAAUUCGGGGCGAUCCUUCCCGAGAGGAAACCCUCACCUGGCAGAGGGAGGGCACGGGCAGGGAUCCCUGCCAACGCCCUGCACGCCCGCUCUCCGACGGCCUAUUUUCUCAGUCAGCUCUCACGUAGUCCAUUAAAUUAACAUCAACAAAUUAAUUUUCCUUAUUAGUUACAGUACAACCGAGGAAACAUCCGCGUGGGCUGCCCGGACCAGCUGCAGCAGCCGCAUUCA
rnacentral:lncRNA from 1 species